GCCAGCGCUGUGUGCCUUUGCGAGGGCGGAGCUGCGUUCUCCUCAGCACAGACCCGGAGAGCAUUGCGAGGGCGGAGCUGAGUUCUCCUCUGCACAGACUUCGGAGAUACAGCGAAGGCAGAGCAAUGUUCUCCUCAGCAGAGACCCGGGCGGGCGGGCCGGUGGCACCGCGAGGGCGGAGCUGCGUUCUGCUCUGCACAGACCUUGGGGGCACUGCCUCGCUUUGGGACAACUCGGGGCCGCAUGGACGGUGAAUAAAAUCCUUCCUGUUUGCAGCCCUGUUUGUGGUUGGUGGCAGCGAUGGACACUGCAGCCAGCCAGAGCGUAGAAAGGCGUCGGGUGAAAGAAGAUGGCCACGGAGACAGACAGCAGCGUGGUCAGAGUGGUAGGAGCUGACCAUCAGCGAGAGCUGCUCCAUGCCUGGCUGCUGGGUCCUAGAGCCUGUGGCCCACUGGCUUGCCUCACUGUGGUUGGUGGUGGUGGUGACAGAGACUGCAGGACGACCAGAUGGCUUUUCCGGCUUUGCCCGCCCAGCUGCUCUGUGCCAGGAAGAGGAGGAGACACCUAGAGCCUGCGACACCAUGGCUCGCCUCGCUGCGGGUGGGCGGCAGUGACGUAGCCUGCAGUGCGCCAGAGUGGUAGGAGAGCGGCUGCACUAGGAGGGCAGGCGGCUGCAGCCAGGGUUGGGGGUCAGGCUUAGAGCGAUGGACGGGCUGCAGCAGUGGCCAGGUGGUAGGAGCCUUGUAGGGAGGGCUGGUGCAUUGGCAAUGGGCCUGGCUUUGCCCUGCGCCUGCCGUGGAUCUGGCCCUGUACUGCCCUGCCUUGCCCUGUACCUGCCCUACUGUUACUUGGACUCUCGGCCCUGUCCUGCUCUGGUCCCAUCCUGACCCUGUCUUGGCCCUGUGCUACCCUGUCCCUGCCCUGGUCUUGCCCUGGCACUGGCCCUGCCCUGAACCUGCACUGGCCUGACCUUGGCUCUGGCCCUGGCUCUGGCCCUGCCUCUUGUCCUGAUCCUGGUCGUGUCAUGGCACUGGCCCUGCCAAUGGUCAUGGUCCUGCUCCUGUUCUGGCCCUGACCUGGCCUUGGACAUGUCCUGGCCCUGCUUUGGCCCAUCCCUGCCCUGGCCCCACCAUGGGCCUGCCUGUUCUGCCCUCUCCUGGCACUGACCUUGCCCUGUCAUGGCCCAGUGGUGCCAUUGCCCUGCCUUACCCUGCGCUGGUUGUGACUUGGCCCCGCUUGGUGCUGGCCGCUCCCUGGACCUGCCCUGGACCUGCCCUGACCCUGCCCUUGGCUUUUGCCCUGCCCUCACUAUGGCCUGGCCCUGGCCCUAGCCCUGGUCCUGCCAUAUCCCUGGCCCUGCCCUUAUCCAGGCCCUGCCCCUGCUGCUGCCCUGGCCCUGGCCUGGAACCUGGUCCUGUCAAGGACCUGCCCUGACUCUGCCAUGGCCCUGGCCCUGCUCUGCCUUGUUCCUGGCCCUGACCCAGACCCAGACCCUUUCCUGGCUCUGCACUGGACUUUCCCUGGCCCUGAGCUGGCAAUGGUCUGCCCCUGGUCUUGCCAUCACCCUGCCCUGCUGCGCUCUGGAUGUGUCAUCACUCUGCCCUGGCCCUACUCUGCCUUUGACCCUGCCCUGGCCUUACCUUGGCCCUCACCCUAGUCUUCGCUAGACCCUGCUCUGGAGCUGGCCCUAGCACAGACCUGGCCCUGAUCCUGGCCGUGGUCUUUGUCCUGCCAUAGCCCUGGCCCUGAAGUGGACUUGGAGGUGUCCUGGCCCCGGCAUAACAUGGCUCUGCAUUGGCCUGUCCCUGCCCUGCCGCUACCAUCUCCUUGCCCUGCUCUGUCCUGUCCCAGCACUGUCCCGGCCGUGCUAUUUCCCUUCCCUACCCUGCCUUGGCUGUGCCCUGGCUCGGUUCUGGCCCUGGCCCCGGCCCUGCCCUGGACAUGCUCUGACACUGCCUCAGCCUCGGCACUAGCCUGGCUCUUUCUUGACAUCAGCUCUGCUCUCUCUGUGGACCGGCUCUUGUCCUGUCCUACACUGGCCAUACCAUGCCCUGCCCUGCCCUGCCCUGACUCAGUCCUGGCUCAGCCCUGGCCCAACCUUGGCCUUGGCAUUGCCCCUGGUCAUGCCAUAUUUCUUGCCCUGUCCCUACCCUGGCCUUGGCCCUGACCCUUACCUUGCUGUGGCCCUGCCCUUGCCCUAACGCAGCCCCUGGUCCUGUCAUGGCCCUGCCCUGGACCUGUCCUGGCCCUGGCCCUUCCCUGCUUGAGAACUUGCCCUGGUUCUCCCCUGGCCCUGACCCUGAAAUGCCUGGCCCUACCCUGGCCUUGCACUGCUCUGGCCUUUGCCCUGACUCUGGUCCUGUCACUGGCCUAGCCCCAGCCCUGUUGCUGGUCUUACCAUGGCCCAGACCCUGCCUUGGCCCUGCCCUGACACUGUCCUGGACCCUGGCUGUGCCAAGAACCUGCACUGUCCUUGCCAUUGUUUUGCUCCUGCCCCGAACCUGGUCUUCCCCAGGCCGUGGCCAUGGCCCUGGCCCUGGCCCUGCCCAGGUCUUGGCACUGUCCUGGCCCCGCCCUGCCCUGGCCCUAUGCUUUUCUGGCCCUGCCUUGCCGGCCCUGGCCCUGCCUUGGCCCUAGCCUGGCUUUGACCCUGCCCUGGCCCUACCUUGGCCUUCACCCUAGCCUUACCUGGGCACUGUGUUGGACCUGGCCAUAGCACAGACCUGGUUGUGGCCCUGGUCCUGCCGUGGCCCUGUCUCAGACCCUAGCCCUGCCAGGUACCUGUCCUGGCCCAGCUCUGGGCCUGGCUUUGUCCCUGGUUCUUAGAUGAACCUGGUCCUGCUCCUGCCCUUGCUCUUGCCCUGGCACUGGCCUUGGACAUGUCCAUGGUCCUAACCCUGGCCCUGCCCAGGAGCUGCCACUGUCUUGGCUGUGCCCUGGCUCUGGCCCUGCCCCGGCCCCAACCAUAGACCUGCCCUGGUUGGUCGUGAACUACCUUAACCCUGUGCUACCCUGGGCCUGCUCCACCCUGCCCUGGCCCUGCCCUCCCUUUGGCCCUGCCCUGACCCUGCCUUGGCCCUCACACUGACCCUAGCACAGACCUGGUCCUAUGUGUGGCCUUGGCCUGGCAUUGACCCCUGCUCCUGACCCCGGUCCUGCCAUGGCCCUGGCCCUGCCAAUGACCCUGGCAGCCCUGACCCUGGCCCUGUCUUGGCCCUGGCCCUGAACUGGCCCUGCCCUGACCCUGGCCCUGAAGUGGAUUUGCAGGUGUCUUGUCCCUGAUGUAACCUGGUCUUACCAUGGCCCUGUCCCUCCCCUGGCUCUGUCCUGGCCUUCUGCUGACCCUGACCCAGACCUUGGCCCUGCCCCAGCCUUGUCCUAGAUCUGGCCAUGGCCCUGCGUCUGCCCUGGACCAGCGCUGGCACUGGCAUGGACCCUGGCCCUGGCCCUUCGCUACUUAAGGCCAUACCCUGGCCCAGCCCUGGUCCUGACCCUGUCCUGGCCCUAAUUUGGCCUGGCUCUACCCUGGCAUGCUAUUCUGGCCCUAGCCCUGACCCUGUCCCUGUCCCUGUCCUGGCCCCAGCCCCAUUGCUGGUCCUGCCACGGCCCUUGUCCUGACAUUGCCCUUUCCUGGUUCUGGCCCUGGCCCUGUCCCAGCCCUGCUCUGGCCCUGGUCUGAACCCUGGCCCUGCAAUAGACCUGCCUUGGUCCUGCCCAGACCCUGGCUCUGGCCCUACCUCUGCCCUGGCCAUACCCUGGCCCUGGCCUGGACCCCAGUCCUGGUCCUUGUCCUGCCCCAGCCGUGGCCCUGGCCCUGCCCUGCCUGUGCCCUGUUCUAUCCUGGGCUGGCCCUGCCAUGGCCGGGUCUUGCCAUUGCCCUGCCCUAGCCUGCCCUGCUUGUGCCCUAGAUCUGCCCCGGCCUUUGCCCCUGUCUUGGUUCUAGCCUUGACUGAGCCCUGGACCUUCCCUGAUCUUGCCUCAGCCCUGGCACUACCCUGGCCUUGCCUUGGCAUUUGCCCUACCCUCUCUAUGGCCUGGCUCUGGUCCUGCCCUGCUCUGCUCUUGUUCUGUCCUGGCACAGCCCUGGCCCUGGCCCUGGCCCUGCCGUAUCACUGGCUCUGGUCCUGCCCUUAUGCAGACCUGACCCUGCCACUGCCUUGGCUUUGGCCUGGACCUUGGCCAUACAGUGACCCUGCCAUGACCCUUUCCUGGCCCUGGCCUGGAACCUGGCCCUGCCAAGGACUCGCCCUGGCUCUGUCAUGGCCCUGGCCCUUUCCUGGAUUUGGGUGUGUCCUGUCCCUUAUUUGCCCUGGCCCUUCCCUGGCUCUGCCAUACCCCUUCUCUGGGGUAGGGCCAGGGUCAGGACCAGACCAGGGCAGGGUCAGGACCAGGGUAGGGCCAUGGUAAGGCCUGAAGAUGGGAAGGGCCAGGGCAGCGGCUGGACCAGGGAAGGGUCAGGGCCAGGGAUGUAGUAGGACUAGGGGCAGAGCCGGCACUAGGGCUGAGCCAGGACAGAGCAGGAGAGAUUACAUUGGGCUAUUACGUAAAAUUUUUAUUUUAGAUUUUUAAGAUAACUGUAGUAGUAGUAAUGUCUAUACUAUAAUGUUUGUAACAGUAAUAAUAUUUGCAGUAAUCACUAAAUUUUAACUAAUACUAUCUUUGCUUCCAGUAGUGUUCUAUGAGUAUAAUUUUAUCAAUAUGUUAAUAUGUGAGGCAUUGAUUCUCACAAUAAUUCUAUGUGCUAGGUACUUAAAGCAUCCCCAUUUUCCAAAUGUAGGAAACAGGCAUAAAGAAGUUAAAUACUUGGCCAGAUUACUCCUGUAAUCCCAGCACUUUGGGAGGCCAAAGCAGGCAGAUGGCUUGAGCUCAGGAGUUUGGAACCAGCCUGGGCAACAUUGUGAAACCCCAUCUCUACUAAAAAUGCACAAAAAGAACUAAUUUAAGUUUCUUGUAGGAUUCUGGUUAUAAAACACUGGUCAAACACACAGGGCAUGGAUAGGGCAGGGCCAGGGACAAGGUCAGGCCAGGAAGGGGCCAGGGCCAAGGCAGGGCCAGAGAUGGACUUGGAAGUGUCCUGGUCUGAUUUGCCCUGCCCCAACGUUGGUCCAGCCCUGCUCUGGCACUUCCUGUCAUGCCCUGUCCCUGGCCUGAGCACUGGCCCUGGCCCUGUCCUGCUUCUGGCCCUGCCCCGGAGUUGACCAGGCACUGCCAUGGCCCAGUCCUGCAUUGCCCUGCCCUCCUCUGCCCUGGUGCUACCAUGGCCCUGCUUGGGCCCUAGCUCUGCCUCUACUCUGGACCUGCCCUGACUCUGCUCAGCCCUGGAUCUACCCUGACUCUGCCUUGGUGUUGCCCUCCCAUCUCUAUGGCCUGGCUCUGGCUGUGCCUUGCAUAGAUCAUGCUCUGCCCUGCGUGUCCCAGCCUGGGCCCAGCCCUUGUCCUACCAUAUUCCUGACCCCAGCCAUACCCUUCUUCUGGCCGUGACCCUGCCGUGGCCCUCUCCUGGCCCUUCCUUGGUCCUGCCCUGCCCUUCCAUGCCCUGGCCUUGCCCUCACCCUGCAUUGGCCCUGCACUGGUCCUGCCCUGCCCUGGCACUGCCUUGGCCCCGGCCCUGCCUUCUCCCUGGUCUUGCCUUUGCCCUGCCCUGGCCUGACCCCAGGCCUACCGAGUCCAUGAAAUGGCCCUGGACCUGCCUUGCCAUCGUCUGUCCUGGCCCUGUAUUGUCCCCACCAUGCUCUGGUCCAGCGCUUGCCCUGGCCCUGUUGCUAGUCCUGCCACUGUUAUGGCCCUGCCCUGUUUUUGGCCAUGCCCUGUGCUACCCUAGCCCUGCCCUGCCUUGGCCUUGGCCCUACCAUGGCCUUCUCCUACCCUGACCUGGCCCUACACUGGCCUUUUCUACCCUGGCCUUGCCCUUCCCUGGUCUUGCCUUGCCCUGGCCUUGCCCUGCCCUGGCCUUGGCUUUGCCUUAUCCUGGUCCUGGUUCUGCCCUGACCCUGGCCUUGCUCUGGCCCUGUCCCUGGCCCAGCCUUGACCCUGACCCUGGCCCUGACAAUCCCCAGGUCUGACACUGGCCAUGCUUGGCCCUGGCCCCUCCUUUUGGCCCUGCCCUGGCCCUGCCUUGGCCCUGUGCUAUCUUAGUCCUGCCCUGGCCCUGAACUCACCCUGGCCCUACCCUCACCCUACACUGGCCCCGCCCUACCCUGGCCUUGCCCUGCCCUGGCCCUGCCUUUGGCCUGCUCUGGCUCUGGUUCUGCCCUGGCCUUGCCCUUGCCCUGGACCCUCCCUGGCCAUGUUUUUUUCCAUGGUCCUUCUCUGGCCUUGCCCUUGCCCUGUCCCCUUUCUGGUCCUGCCAUAUUUCUGGCCCUGUCCUGUCCAUGUCCUGGACCUGACUCUGGCCCUGGACCUCCCUGUCCCUGCCCUGCCAUACCCUGACCCGUUCCUUGCUCUACACUGACCCUGCCCUGCCUUGGCCCUGUGCUACCCUAGCCUUGCCCUGGCCUUCUGCUGACCCUGAUCCUGCCAUGGCCCUGGCCCUGCCAUGUCCCUGCCCUGGCCCUGGUUCUGCCCUGCUUCUGGCCCUGGCCUUGGUCCUCUCAUGUCCCUGGCCGUGACCCUGCCCCUGGUUUUUCUCUGGCCAUGACCCUGCCCCUGUUCUGUCCUAUCCCUGGCCCUGUCUUAGUUCUGUCCUAGCCCUGGCCUUUCACAGUACUUUAUGCUUAGUAAGGGCUCCAUGGUGUCUGUGAGUUGAAUGUUGUGUUCAUAGUAUCUGCCAAAACAGAAAGAAAAAAAACAAAAUAUUUUGAUAAGAAGUUAAAGCUUUGUAUAUAAUAUGCCUUGAAUUGUAAAUGCCUGUUAUUAGUUGUAUUACAUAUAGGUCAUGGUUUUGUACACAUAACUCCAAACCAUUGAUACUGUUAAAAGAAUAUAUGAAUAUAUGAAAGAAUGUAUAAAUGUAAGAAUGUAUCAUUAUCUAAUUACCUUUCCAAAUUAAUUUUUAUUUUUAGCUCUAUUAGAUUUUUCUCAGUGUAACAAAUGUUUAUUCCUAUGUAAUUAAGGGCGUAUUUCCUGUACAGAAUAUUCAUAUUACCUAAUUGAAAAUUAUAUGAUACAAAAAUAUAAUACUAUUUUUAGGCCAGGCAUGGUGGCUCAUACCUGUAAUCCCAACA
rnacentral:lncRNA from 1 species